GUUAUACUCCCUCCGUUCUGAAUUACUUGUCGCAAGUAUGGAUGUAUCUAGAUGUAUUUUAGUUCUAGAUACAUCCAUUUCUGCGACGAGUAAUUUGGAACGGAGGGAGUAUUCU
rfam:Triticum urartu cultivar G1812 contig995598, whole genome shotgun sequence.